UAAAACAGCAACAGAGGUUUUUACUUUCUGUGAUUUCACAUAGUAAAAGAGAUUGGUGUAUGUAAAGAAGCGAGGAUGUAGUCUAACUGAUCUUAACUUGUGUAAAACUCAACAGAAAACUAAUAUCCCCUCUUAAACUUUUUUUUUUUUUUUUUUAGCUAUUCCCAGACUUGUGUGUGUGUGCAUAACUUAUUUCAAGAGCCUUUGAUUUCUUUUCAGAUCCUCAACCGGAUAAGGCCCUGAGCAACCUGAUCUGAAGCUGGUCCUGCCCUGAGCUGGAUGUUGAACCAGAUUUCUUCUGUUUGUCUGCUGUAAUAAUGACAUGGGAGAAUGAUUGCUGAAAUAUGCUGUAUCCAAGCCUGUAGCUUGGGUCUUUGCAGUCAUCAGCUCCCUUCUUCCCCUCCAGAACAUCUAAAAAAAGUUGACG
rnacentral:lncRNA from 1 species